rnacentral:lncRNA from 1 species
UUCAGCAUGGAUUUAUCUAUAGAACAUGAAAGGAUACAUGAGAAUAUAAUCUAUGUAGACAAACCUAUUUCUUGAAAGUAAGAAAAUGAUAAUAUUUUUGACAGCUUUCAUACAUCAAGAUUGAAUCCAUUUUUUUAUCUGAUUAAAAAUAAUUAAUCCAUGAUAAAACUAAAAAAAAUAUAUAUGAAAAUUUUAUUUCUGACAACUAUUGAAAUCUUGAACCUUGAUAAUCACGAAGAAAGCAUACCUCAUUAAUCAUCUAAAUGUGUAAAAAGAAAAAAAGUAUUGUUAAUGAUGUGUUUAACAAAAUUCAUGGCCAUAGAAAUGAAUGCUCUCUGGUGGUGGACCAAAUCAAGGUUUUAUGAGCAUGCCCCUUCAAAGACUGAUGGUGCUAACACAUGGCAGUUGAUUUAAUAAUUGUUCAUGAUAGGUAGUCAGUAGUCUUGAACCUUGCUGAUCUACCCCUAGAUACUGGUAUCUGUAGUUUUCCAUGGUUACAACUUACAGGUGGGAGAAGCAACUAGGGUUAGUCCAAGUGAAAACAGACGUGGAUCAUACGUUUGCAUCAGUCACUUGAUAAGGGCCUUUUCUUUCAUUUAUAUCUGUUCAGGUUUGAUGUCAAAUAUACCCACCAGACCUGCAAACUUGAUUCAGUAAAAGUAUGCUAGAUUGAAAAUUACCAUAAAAUUAGUCACAUGUUACAAAAGAUCCAAGCCAGACAGCGUCCACUUUAAGACAUGCUGGACAUCAGUCAAGCAGUAAUUUCAGCAUGGUACAAGGUUAGCAAAAGGGUGUUUGCUGUAGUCUGAGGUAAGAAAAUAUACCAAGAUACUGGAUGAAGGAGGCCCAUCUGUAAAGUUGCUCAAGCAUAAACUGUCUGCCAAGUUAUUCCUAUAGUGGAUCCUAAACUGGAUGCCGGAGAUUGCUUAUAUCCUUGUUGAGGCAUCAUUUAGUUUUGUGAAUUGUCAGCAGAAUCUCAAUAGCUGGCUAUGCAAGAAACACAGGCUUGUAUUUAGGUAAGUAAAAAUUGAGAUAGGUUCCAGAUAACCAUCCAUGGAACCUUUAUGAAGCAAAAAUAAUGUCAGGAAGAAGAUACAUUUGACUUGGUUAGAAGAAAGGCUGUCGCAUCCAUAUGAUGUAGCUGAAAACAUGAUGUUGCUCGUUGAAUCCACUCCUUGAUCGCAUGAUAAAAAGGAAAUCUCAAAUCAUGGCAAGAUAUGAGUCGAACUAGUUCCGGGAUUUCUGCAAGCAAGAAAGGGUAUAAUCAGUACUUUUUACCGAAUUAACUUGUAAAUUAAAAAAAAAAUAGUGCAGGGAGAGUGCUUGCUUGCAUUCAGAUACAAAUGGGGAAAAUGAUUGAAUAUCUUCUAUUUGUUAAAUCAUAGUGAAUGGCAAAAAUGCAAAGAUCCAAAUAAACAUUAAGAAAUGAAUACAAAAGUUCAUGCACUGAUGGUUGAUUUUUGCACAAGCACAACUGGACAAUUCAUAUCACAAAUUGUCUAUCCUUGGAUUAGAAAUGCAUAUGGAGUUCAAAGCCCUACGUUUCAGACUAUACUUCGAACAUAAAAGAAAAAAACAAGAAGAUACUAGCAUUCGGUUCUCGCUAAAUCUUGGACUCCAGAAAUUGGUGACUGCCUACAACCAACAUGGUGGAAUCACAGGGUAGAAGAUGGCAAGGAGCUAGAGAUGAUAUGUAACAAUUGGAAUCUAAAACCAAGAAUUGCUGGCUUGUGGGAAAUGUUUAAGGUAACUUGUAACUACACAAGUUUUUGGUAUCUUAUGGUAUGUUGCAUUUUAAAUAAUUAGAGUUCUUUAUCUGAUUUACUUUUCUUUCCUAAAAUUUGAGGACUGCAAUUUUUUGGAGAGUUUGAUAGGAUCCCAACAUAUACAGACACUUGCAUAUGCAUACGAGCACUAUAAACACGAAUAUAUCCACAUAUAUAUCACAUGUUAGUCUUCCUAAAAUCUGAAACAGUUCAAUGAUUUCUAAGUAACCUGAUCUCAACCAAAUUAAAUGUUAAUUUCUCUGGUGGGGAGGGUUUCUUAAUCAGAUAACUAAAAAGGAAAUUCUGCUUUGUUCAUAAGGAGGCAAAACAGAAGGGAAGCCGAAGACCUAUCACACCAAAUCUGAGAAUUUCCAUAAAACUAAUCACAUGGUACAAGACAGUUACAAUGUACAAUUAAAUCACAUCAUAUAGGUGGGAAUGCAAAUGGCAUGUAGGAAAAUACGUUCAUAAAGCAAACAACUAAUUUGAAUUGAGACAGUUAAAAUCAGUUGUUAUAUUACUGUGAUAUAUUAGUCAAGCUGUAAUGUCAGUAUAGAAACCUUAAUUCUGAAGUCAGGGCAUGAGAUCACCGUGAUCCUGGAUGACAUGGGCAAUUUGAACACUUCCUCUUGCAUAAAAUGUCCUCUAAGUUAAUUACUUGUUGAGGCUGGGGCCGGGGGCACUAAUUUGGAUACCAGAGUGGCCAUGCAUACAUAAAAUUGAUUGCUCAUGAAGGCACUGUUAGUGAGCUGUCAUCAGAAUCUCAGUCGCUGGCUACACUGCAAACAUGAGCAAGAAAGUAAACAAAAACUGAGGUAGCCUUUAGCUAACCAAUCCAACGCUCCUUCAUGAAAGGAAAACCAUGCCACCAAGAACAAAGCUGCCUAUCACAUCCUUCUACAUAAAACUGAAAACUUGGCAAUGCUUGUUGAGCUCAUCUCCUCGCAAGGAGUCAACUAGCUCCAUGAAUUGUACAAGCAAGAAGGCUGUUAAAAUCACGAGAAUUUUUGGGGAAAAAACCCGGCAAUAUUAUGAAAGAAGAAGAGGAAUGCAUUGAAAUACAAUUGAGCCAAAAAAAAAAAGCAUUGUUAGACCACAUGAUUAAUUUUAAGCACAGCCAGUGGCAAAUCUGCAUAGAGACAAGAUAAACACUGGAAAUGGAUGCAAAAGCUCACAGAUUGAUGAUUAGUACCUGCCAAGCACAGCUGGGCAAUUGUUACCAAAUAUUAGCUGUCGUUAGAUUAGAAUGCUUACGGAGUUCAAAGCCAAUUUUCUGAUAGUACUUGGAAUAUAUCGGGUCCCAGAAAUUGGUGAGAGGUGACAGCCAUCCUACUGUGACCACUGUGGUGGAAUCAGAAACCAUCAUGCAAGACAAUAUAAUAGAAUU